GCACCCUGAUCCAGCAAUGCCGCGUGAGUGAUGAAGGCCUUAGGGUUGUAAAGCUCUUUUACCCGGGAUGAUAAUGACAGUACCGGGAGAAUAAGCUCCGGCUAACUCCGUGCCAGCAGCCGCGGUAAUA
rnacentral:rRNA from 2 species